GGAAAUAGAGAGGAAAGAAAGAAAAAAAAGAAAAACCAAAGAGAAACAAGAAAAUUCAAAGGGAAAUUCGCGAUUUUCGACCGUUUACGCGUCUAACGGUAAGAUUUUUCGAUUUUAGCUUGAUUUCUACCUUUCCUAUGCCUUUAUUUCCAUUUAGCAUGCUUGAGGAGAGAGAUCAAAAAGUGAUAUCAAGGGCUGGACGAAAUUCUAGGGGAGAGAAAUUGAAAUUUUUAGGUUUUGAUUUUUAGUUAAAUUGAUAGUUUUAGUUAGUUAAAUGUGUUUAGAAAUUAAAUUGGGCAAGAAAUCAUUAAAUUUUCACAAUACCCACUCUUGGCUGGAUGCUCAAUGCUGUACAAUGAUGAUGAAUUGAUUUUAUUCUAAGGGAAAUGAAGAGAAAAUGAUGAAAAACGAUUAAACGUGAUAGAAAAACAAAGUAGAAAAUUAACCGAGUUAAUGUCCCAUUUUUGGCCGAAUUUUCCAAGGAAGGGAGUGAGCUGAUUUUGUUGUUUUUAGAAGGUUAUUGGCUGAUAUUUAAUGGUUAGAAAUGUUGGAGAGAGAAUGGGAUGAUUUAGAGCUAAAAUGGAGCGCGUUAGCAAUUUAUCGGGCAAAGUGCCAAAAAUAGGUUAAUACCGCGUUUAAGCCGUUUUAGGCUAUUGCAUUUCAUACCAUGCAUUAGUAUAGGAUUUAAGUUAAUUAUAUAGUGAUUUAGCAUCAAUGUGAUGAAUUGUGUAAAUUUUUGUAAUGUGUCUAGGAGGAGAGCCUUCCGGAAAAGGCAAAGAAGUCGUACCCGACGAGUAGUGAUCGGGGCGCUUAGAAAGCUUUUAGUUUGUACAAACGGUGAGUAAACUUAUUAUUAUUGUAAAUUAUCUAGAGUUUAUUUUAAAUGCCCUUUAUGUAUUUUAUGAAAUGAGAACGAGAUUAAAACGGGAUUUUUGAUGUUUUAGGAAUAAAUGUGACAAAUAAAAAUAUAUUGUAUUGAUUAUGAAAUUGAGUAAUUGGAGGCUGCAAAUUGACUUGAAAAAUAUAUAUUUUCCUAGGAAUGGCUUAUGAGAAAUGAGUAUAUGUGGCUAUAUUUUGUGAGUGCAUUUGGGAAAUUUAUGUAAGUUGGUUUUACUAUGCAGGCUGGAUAAAUAAAUAAAAGCCACGUUAUACUGUCGAAAUUUUAUUAAAAUUGGUGGGUUAGUCACUGCAGUGACGGGUUUCCGUGGACUGCCUAUUAGAGGGGCACGGUAAACCCAGUUAUAUAGUUACUCCGGUUGUAGAGGCGAGGAGGGUAACUCCCGGGGUAGUAUUAGAGCUCACUUCACGUCGAACCCCCACGUGAAUGUGUAACUCGGCCAACGCCAAGGAACGGCUGGUUUUAAAAAUAAAAAUGUGUUUCACGUGUGAAUAUUUUAACACCCUUGGCGGACUCGGUUAGAUGCCUCGGCCAAGGUAUCCCCGAGGAUUAGUUUUGGCUUGAGCCUUGUUUUAAUAAAAGACAUAAGCCUUAACAACUGUUUUGGUAAAUUACAAAUAUUUUAUGGUUUAAGAAAUAAAUUGAAAACAUUAUGAAAUGGGUUGAAAUUUGUUGUUUAAACUUGCCUCCAUUUUACUCGCCUUUAGAUAUUUAUGAUAAUGUCUGUUUACUCAUUGGGAUUGCAAAAUCUCACCCAACUCCUUUCCACCCAUUUCAGGUUCAGUAUAGACUGUAGAUAGCUGAUCUCAUCGAGGACUACCAUUGGAUCUGCAUUUUCCAAACCGUAGGUUCACAGUCCUCUUUACUUUUGUUUAUUCGGGGGCCCUCUUGUUAUUGUAAAUUAAAUUAAAU
rnacentral:lncRNA from 1 species